UUUACUCCAUGUGUAACUCUGUGUUGUUGUAUGUGUCGAACUGCUUUGCUUUAUCUUGGCCAGGUCGCAGUUGUAAAUGAGAACUUGUUCUCAACUAGCCUACCUGGUUAAAUAAAGGUGUUCUCAACUAGCCUACCUGGUUAAAUAAAGGUGUUCUCAACUAGCCUACCUGGUUAAAUAAAGGUGUUCUCAACUAGUCUACCUGGUUAAAUAAAGGUGUUCUCAACUAGUCUACCUGGUUAAAUAAAGGUGUUCUCAACUAGCCUACCUGGUUAAAUAAAGGUGUUCUCAACUAGCCUACCUGGUUAAAUAAAGGUGUUCUCAACUAGCCUACCUGGUUAAAUAAAGGUGUUCUCAACUAGCC
ensembl:lncRNA